rnacentral:rRNA from 10 species
GAAGAACGCAGCUAAUUGCGCGUCAACAUGUGAACUGCAGGAUACAUGAACAUUGACAUUUCGAACGCACAUUGCGGUCCUCGGAUACUGUUCCCGGACCACUCCUGGCUGAGGGUCGU